GAAACGAAAGGGUUGAGUAAAAGGACAAACCUCUCUUUUCGGCGUCCAGGACCCCAGCAGCAGCAGCAGGGCUUAAUCUCUCAUAAUCAUCGAUGAGCUCCAGAAGAACUCUCUGACCGAUCUGGAUUAGGAGAUCUCGCAGCUAACACCAGUAAACUACAGCAGUGCCGCGCGCGACGCCCGAGCGGAUCAUCUCCCGCUUUUGCUUUCAGCUCUGGCUUUCAACAUCAUGAAAACCCCGCAAUCUGCUUCGGUGGGUCAGCUAGAAACAAAAAAAUGACACCCGCCAACAACUUCAGUGUGAAGCAAUCGGCCUUCUCAGCUCCGUGACAAACUUUUUGGCAUCAAGACGGAUCUCAAUGAUGUUGUUCAGUAGAGCAAAAAGAGGAGCCAGCGGAAAGGAGGCCACAAACAAGGUUAUUCUGGAUGAGCUGUUUGCCAAGCAUGGUGAUGCAGAGCUGAAUGCACAAUUCCAUCAGACAGCCGGCAUGGGCGCACUGCAGGGUGAAACAGAGAGAGAUUUCAAUCAGUUACAAUGGAGUUGACUGGCUACACACCUCUGAGAGUGUUAGUCAUCAGGACUGAGGCCUGUUUGCGCAAAAUGCCCACUAACCCCUGAACAUCUGAUGUUCUACGUGAAGCCAAACUUGAGGGAGAAAAUGGCACCAAUCGAAGUUCCUGUUGAAAUGAGGAGCAGAAAUUGGAGACCUUGCUCAGUCACUGAAGCCCUGUGGCUGGCAAAAGCUGCCUCUAGAUUAGUUUUCCUCACUCUGCUGGAUCUGUCUGCAAGUGAAAAAUCACCAGAUCCUUCUCUGAAGUGAGCAGCAUCUAAAUCACAUCAACUGUCCAUGGGGGUUCCCCAAGGCUCCGUAAUUUUCCCCUUACUCUUUUCAGAAUACACAACAAUCAUUGGGACCGAUUAACCAGAUACAUGGAUUUGAAAAUAAAGCAUGGUGACAUUAAGACCACCCAUGCUUUACCAAAAACACAAAUUCUCAAUUUCUAUUAUAUUAGCAACACAUGGACAUCAAAAUCUCUCAUGUUCUUUACGUGAGAACCAUCUGUAGAGAGUUACAAUGUCUAUACAUUGUUCCAAAUCAGUCAUUUCUUUUUCGGUUAGGAUAUAGCAAAGUAAAUAGUUGACAACAGGGCAGCUCACUAAGUUUGGAAAAAAAGGGAAAUCCUAUUGCAGAUUUGUUAAUAACCGAGUAUUUGUGUUCAAUUUCAGAGUGAAUGCUUGGUAAUAAUAACCUCACCUGCCUCUGAAUAAUGCCAGGUACACAAUAGGGGUAAAUGCAUUUGCAAACUUCAAUAUGAACGUCUUGAAGAUCAGCCUCUCCUCAAAACUCUUGUCAGUUUUUGGCACUUCUGAUGGGUUAAAAACAACAGCAAGUUCUGUAAAUAUAAUGUUUUGCAACACCGUGGACAACCUAAAUGUUUUGAGAAAAGCAACCAGAAGUACCCAUAAUAGUGAGCCAACGUGCAAUUGCUCCAUAGACCUCAUCCAUUAUGAUGAUGAUAAUGAGAUUGAUGAUAGCGGCAGUGGUUUUAACGGUGGCCCGUAUAUUAGUGCGGAAUGUGGGAGUGGAACUCAUGUGCAGGGCAGUCAUAAUGGAGACCCUGUAUAGCACCACACCAAACACGAUGGCCAAGGUCACAAAGAUC